AUUGAACGCUGGCGGCAGGCCUAACACAUGCAAGUCGAACGGUAACAGGAAUAAGCUUGCUUCUUUGCUGACGAGUGGCGGACGGGUGAGUAAUGUCUGGGAAACUGCCUGAUGGAGGGGGAUAACUACUGGAAACGGUAGCUAAUACCGCAUAACGUCGCAAGACCAAAGAGGGGGACCUUCGGGCCUCUUGCCAUCGGAUGUGCCCAGAUGGGAUUAGCUAGUAGGUGGGGUAACGGCUCACCUAGGCGACGAUCCCUAGCUGGUCUGAGAGGAUGACCAGCCACACUGGAACUGAGACACGGUCCAGACUCCUACGGGAGGCAGCAGUGGGGAAUAUUGCACAAUGGGCGCAAGCCUGAUGCAGCCAUGCCGCGUGUAUGAAGAAGGCCUUCGGGUUGUAAAGUACUUUCAGCGGGGAGGAAGGGAGUAAAGUUAAUACCUUUGCUCAUUGACGUUACCCGCAGAAGAAGCACCGGCUAACUCCGUG
rnacentral:rRNA from 1 species